UUGGAUACCUCAGCUGGGAGAGCAUGAGACUCUUAAUCUCAGGGCCAUGGGUUCAAGUUCCACAUUGGGCAAA